rnacentral:rRNA from 1 species
UAGGGCGAAAGCCUGACGCAGCAACGCCGCGUGAGGGAUGAAGGCUUUCGGGUUGUAAACCUCUUUCAGCAGGGACGAUUGUGACGGUACCUGCAGAAGAAGCCCCGGCCAACUACGUGCCAGCAGCCGCGGUAACACGUAGGGGGCGAGCGUUGUCCGGAUUUAUUGGGCGUAAAGAGCUCGUAGGUGGUUCGGUAAGUCGGGUGUGAAAACUCUGGGCUCAACUCAGAGACGCCACCUGAUACUGCCGUGACUUGAGUCUGGUAGGGGAGUGUGGAAUUCCCGGUGUAGCGGUGAAAUGCGCAGAUAUCGGGAGGAACACCAGUGGCGAAGGCGGCACUCUGGGCCAGUACUGACACUGAGGAGCGAAAGCGUGGGUAGCGAACAGGAUUAGAUACCCUGGUAGUCCACGCCGUAAACGUUGGGCACUAGGUGUGGGUCUCAACCAACGGGAUCCGUGCCGCAGCUAACGCAUUAAGUGCCCCGCCUGGGGAGUACGGCCGCAAGGCUA